rnacentral:tRNA from 1 species
GGUAAGAUGGCCGAGUUGGUCUAAGGCGCCAGGUUAGUUACCAUUUAUAUUCUUGUAUAUUAGAAUUUCCACUAAUUAUAUCACAGACUUAAGUAUCACUUUAGUGUUGCUUUCUGGUCUCGAAAGAGGCGUGGGUUCGAAACCCGCUCUUACCA